UGGGGCUCCCCCCGAGCACGGGGCAACCGCAGCCACCUGCGGGUCAGCCAGCGGAAAGGUUUCCCGGUUGUUGCAGUCUCCAAACUCGCCGUGCCUCGUUCCCGGCAGCCCUGCCCGGGCCAGCCCGGCUCAGCACAGCAGCGGGAGAGGACGAGCCCGGCCAGGACACAGCAGAGCCCCGGGAGAGGUGACACGGGAGGGAGUGUCGGGUGAUGCCCCAGUCAGCUUCUUCAGGUUCCAGCUGUGGCUGUGCAGUGCUCCAGGUGCUUCCAGGCUGCUCCAAUUGAUUCCAGCUGUGGCUCCGAGAUGCUCCAGUUCAUUCCAGCUCUAGCUCCAAGGUGCUCCAGUUGAUGGCUGCUCCAGUUGGUUCCAGCUCUGGCUCCGAGAUGCUCCAGUGGAUUCCAGCUCUGGCUCCGAGAUGCUCCAGUGGGUUCCAGCUCUGGCUCCGAGAUGCUCCAGUGGAUUCCAGCUCUGGCUUAUUAAAUGUUGCUUCUUGUUGCAAGCCAGUUAAAGCUCCAGGUGCUUGGAGCGAUUUGGGCUUCUGGCCAAGUUGUAAAUCACUCACUGUCAUCGAGUGUAUAUGAAUAUGAGCUGUCAUAAUUGUCUCAAUAUUGUAGCUAUUCCGGUGUUUGUACAAAUAAAGAGUUGGACUGGAAAAA